CCGUAGCCCAAGAGAUCGGGAUAACACCUGGAAACAGAUGCUAAUACCGGAUAACAACAGAUGAUGCCUAUCAACUGUUUAAAAGAUGGUUCUGCUAUCACUCUUGGAUGGACCUGCGGUGCAUUAGCUAGUUGGUAGGGUAACGGCCUACCAAGGCGAUGAUGCAUAGCCGAGUUGAGAGACUGAUCGGCCACAUUGGGACUGAGACACGGCCCAAACUCCUACGGGAGGCAGCAGGC
rnacentral:rRNA from 1 species